rnacentral:rRNA from 1 species
AAUCAACGCUGGCGGCGUGCCUAACACAUGCAAGUCGAACGCGGUUACUCCGCAAGGGGUGACUGAGUGGCGAACGGGUGAGUAACACGUGGGUGAUCUACCUUCGAGUGGGGGAGUAACGUUCCGAAAGGAACGCUAAUACCGCAUGACGUUCUGGGUUUGAAGACCUGGAAACCAAAGCGUGGGGACCGCAAGGCCUGGCGCUUGGAGAGGAGCCCGCGUCCGAUUAGCUAGUUGGUGGGGUAANGGCCCACCAAGGCGACGAUCGGUAGCCGGCCUGAGAGGGCGGACGGCCACACUGGGACUGAGACACGGCCC